AGGCUCCAGGCUCUGAGUGUCAGCACAGAGCCCGACACGGGGCUCGAACCCACGAACCGCGAGAUCAUGACCUGAGCCGAAGUCGGACGCUUAACCGACGGAGCCACCCAGGCGCCCCCAGACUUCUAAGUAGUUUUAUUACAGCAGUGGAAAACAUGCAGUGUGUGGCACAGUGAAGGGGACGUGAAAUCGAAUUUAGGCUCCAGCUGUGAUGCUGCCUGCCACCUCCUAGCUCUGGGUCCCUGCUAGUUCCUGACCUUUUAAGCUUCAUCAACCUCAUCUGUGAAAUAGAGAUGUUAAUGGCUCUUCACAGACAGCAAAAGAAAUAAGUAAAUAAUAAGACACUUUAAAUCCUAAAGCAGUAUUAACGUGAAGAGUUUCGAUUUACUUCAGGCUUGAGAGCCGCACUUCCUUUCUCAUGUAAACAUGCAAACUGUAAAGUAUGAAUAACUGGGUGGAGUCAGGAAUCACUGCAGCUGAAUAUAAUCGUAAACUGUGGCACAGCCAACGACACAUGCCAUCCUGUGUGUCGAGCCCUGUGAUGCUUCUGAUGCCAACAGAGGCUACUGAAGAAAGGAACAGAUAGCCACCUAAAAUAACGGAUUGAGGUUAAACAGAAAAAAAUACGUCAGUGCUUUUAAGUACCGUGGUGACUUUGCUUAACAUGGUUAAAAAAAAAAAAAGCCUCAGUGGGUCUUAAAACAUUUUUUUGUCAACUUGUUUGCUUGUAUCUUCUUCAAUGGAAAGUGAAAGAAGUCAUUUUUUUUUCCUUUUUCUGACAUAAAAUAAGCCACUGUGGAUAGAGGAGUUUAGUUGCAAAUAGCACAGUGACAUGGGACAGAAGCACAGACUAAUACUUGCUGUCUGAGCGUCUGGACUUGGAAUCCCGAGGUGCUCGCAGGCCCGCAUACCACACGGGCCAGAAGCACACAACCGAAGCUAGAGGCUAGAUAGCCUCACGGGAAGAGCAGCUGGGAUGCCCCAGCCCAGACACACACACCGCUCCCUCCCCCAAAAGGACUCGGAAGUUUUCAUUUGCUUCUUUUGAAAGCAAAACUGUCCUUUAACGAGAUACAGAUUUGUAUUUUAAGCACUUCUACACUUCCGAGGGAUGACAGAACUUCACACUCAUUUUAUACGUGUGCUUUUCCAAUGCCUGACUCUUAGGUCAGAGUAUCACAACUACGUUUCUUUCACUGGAUGUUAUUCUUUAUUACCUCUGUGUGGACAGGUUACAAAAUAAAAACGCUCCUCUGCACUGCAGAACAUUUUCCUCUGCCUAGUUAGGAACUAUCGAGUAGCCAGAUCGUGGAGCACCCUCUUAAAUUAUGUGUGGGUUCUAAGGCACCUUGGUUUCUGUGUCCUUCUCCAAUACUGCCUGAGUCUUACGGUUAAGUAUUUUUAUUUCUGAAAAUUACAUUAGAAAGUAUUGUGGAAGCACGGCUCUGUUCUGAGCUUUGAGUACCCUGUCAAAGGAUCAAGGUAGAGAGCCAUGCUUCUGUUUAGCAAUGGCAGAUAUUUCUUCAGGUAUAUAAUUAUUAAUGGAGAUUUUGUCGUUUUGUUAUCAGGUCUUUUUUUUUUUUUUUAAUUGCUCCGGUCUGAAUGAACAGAAUCCUCAAAAUCAAAGUGAAACUUACAGAGUAAAUCAGGAACUGUUUUGGCUACGAAGCCACUGAAGAAGUUGUUGAUGCAUUUUCCCAGUCCUUUUCCCCAUUUCGACUGCCACAACGACUUGGAGACAAGAAGCCUUCUACAGACUCGGAUCUAAAUGGUUUUGUCUCAAGUCCUGGGACCUGAACGAUUCCUGCUUCUGGACAUAUUCCAUGGUCCUGUUGACGGUGAAAGUGACCAGAACCUCCUUUAUGCUCCCUCCUUUAUGCUGUAUUAGCAUCUACCUAAGACUCAGAAACAUGUAGUGGCUUAUCCUCCAUUGUGCUAACAUUAGGGCAAUAGAUCAAUUUUGUACUAUAACUUUAAGUUUAGCUUUAUAUUGUAAAAGAAACCUAUAGCUAACAGUGUAUUUAAACACACACACACACACACACACACACACACACACACACACACACACAGACAUAAAAUAAGCAGAAAAAUAAAACUUUUUUCAAAAGCUC